GCGUAAACUCGAUCGCAGUCCUUCUCGCUCGCACUGAUGUAUUGUGCGAUAGAGAGGGAAUACGAUCGAGUUCACGCUGUCGCUAACGUAAAUGACAAAUGCCAACUCGUGGUAGCCGUGCAGGUGUGGGGUGUGAAAUUGAACUGAAAUACGAAACUUAAAUUUAACUAAUUAUUUUUGAUGUUUCGAAUCGUGAAGGUUAAGAGGUCUGAGCAAACAGAAGGUUUCAUUCAUGAAAAGUGGAUUUAUAUUAAAUUUCAAUAUGUGAUGAGACUAGUUUAGACACUAAGUUAUUUAAAAUAUUGAUUAAAGGGUAAAAAAGACGUUACCUUUUAGAUAAGUAGGUACCUACUUACUUUACAUUAUUUAUUAUUCAAUUAAUCCUUUUGAUGAUGAUUAAGUAGUCUGUUUUAAUGGGGAUGUCGUAAGAAUAUAUUACCUAAAAUUAUGUUUAUUCACUACUUAUGUUUAUUUAAUUAAUAUCGUUUUUAAAAUAAACAUAUUAUACCUAAACUCCGUCUAAGCUAACUCUGCACCGACCUUACAGCGACAAAAUGGGGACGCGCCACUAUAGCCGUCAUAUUUUUAUAGGAAUUUGACAUUUAUGGUGGCACUUUGACACUAUGGGUUGCAAAAUUGAUGCAAAAUUCGCUUUGACAGACAAUAGGUACCUAAUUUGCAAUUUGUCUUGAAUCGUUAGAAGUAAAUGCUUGUGUUAAAAAGAAUUAAAGCGUAAUUUUAACGAAAUUUUAUUAAGAAAUAUAUAAUUAGACUUAUAUCAUUUACCUACCUUUCUUUUAUGGGUAAUUAAAACUUAAUUUCUUAUAAAAAUGUAUUUAUAUGUAAACACGUUAUAAGUAUAACUGUUAAACGUUAAAAAAUUAAACUUAAUCAGUUUAAUGAAUUAUCAGGCAAAUAUUUGGUAAAUAUUUACAUAUUGUAAUUCACCGUGUAUACAUAGCAUAAUAAGUUAUGUGCCAUGUAUUAUUAUUGCUUAAAUAAAUAAACCAACAUUAAUUAUGUUAGAAUAUUAUUA